CCAGACUCCUACGGGAGGCAGCAGUGGGGGAUAUUGGACAAUGGGGGAAACCCUGAUCCAGCGACGCCGCGUGAGUGAAGAAGUAUUUCGGUAUGUAAGGCUCUGUCAGCAGGGAAGAAAGAAAUGACGGUACCUGACCAAGAAGCCCCGGCUAACUUCGUGCCAGCAGCCGCGGUAAUACGAAGGGGGCAAGCGUUGUUCGGAAUUACUGGGCGUAAAGGGAGUGUAGGCGGUUUAGUAAGAUAGUGGUGAAAUCCCAGAGCUUAACUUUGGAAUUGCCAUUAUAACUAUUAGACUAGAAUUACAGAGAGGAUAGUGGAAUACCCAGUGUAGAGGUGAAAUUCGUAGAUAUUGGGUAGAACACCAGUGGCGAAGGCGACUAUCUGGCUGUACAUUGACGCUGAGGCUCGAAAGCAUGGGGAUCAAACAGGAUUAGAUACCCCCGUA
rnacentral:rRNA from 1 species